rnacentral:tRNA from 1 species
CAUUAUAAAGCUAUUAAUGCAUUAACAUUUUAAGUUAAAGACUAGGAGUUUAAAUCUCCUUAUAAUGA